rnacentral:lncRNA from 1 species
CACUGCCAGAUCUGACUGGCCUGGUGCAGCCUUCGAGCUUGCCAGACCCCAGUUAAACCGUCCAACCCAUGCUAGCAUGGAAAGCGGACGUUAAACGAUGAUGAUGAUGAUGAUGUUUACUACGGUGAUGAUACCGUUGAAGAAAUAGAGGGGAGACCUGACUAUUAGUCUUUCUGGAACACAAACAAGAGUGACUCAGCUAUAGUCCUGACUAGUUUGGCAGGUCCUUAUUGUAAAAAUCUAUCAUUUGCUUCCAGACGUACCUGCUAUAUGGCUUUGGUUCUUUUACUCCUUUUUUCACACAUUUCAAGCAGUUGACUGUAACCAUGCUGGAGCACUGCCUCAAAGGGUUUUUUUUUUUUUUUUUUAAGUCGAGGAAUUAAGACCCCAGAACUUAUUCUUUGCAAGCCUAGUAGUUAUUCAAUCGGUUUCUUUUGCCAAACUGCCGAACAGGGACAUAAACACACCUAGCAAUAUGGGAACACACACACACACAUCAUCAUCAUUGUUUAGCGUCCGUUUUCCAUGCUAGCAUGGGUUGGACGGUUCUACUGGAGUCUGUGAAGCCAGAAGGCUUCAUCAGGCCCAGUCAAAUCUGGCAGUGUUUCUACGGCUGGAUGCCCUUCCUAACACAAAUACACACACACACACACACACACACACGAUGGGGUCGAUUUGCUGGUGCUCCAGCAUGGACACAGUCAAAUAACUGAAACAAGUAAGAGAAUAAUAGAAUAUAUUUUGGCAAAGCAUAAACACAUACUAUGUGUGGGUUUCCCACACAAUGCCCGUCCACAUGUUGACUACAAUGCAUUUCUCAACCCAAGGAACUUGCUCAAGCUGCCAUGCAAUGCAAUGGAAUAAAAUUCACCCCAAACCACUUCGAGUUUGGAAGCAAGCUUCUUAGCCAUACAGUCAUAUCUGUGUUCAUGUAUAUUUAAUGGAAGGAAGAGUCGAACCAGCCUCUUCCUGUUUUGAGUUUCUCUUGUAGGCACAUAGGAUCUACAACCAAGUUAUGACUGGAACACACACACACACACACACACAUAUAACUUUCCGGACAAUCCAAUAUAUAUAACAUUGAGACUCUUUUCUUCCUUAUCAAGCGUUAAGCCUCAUCCUUGCAAUAGAUAUGUAUAGGUGCAUGCCGGGCGAAACGUGUAGCUGUAAUUCGUCUGCCGUUGCGUUCUGGGUUCAAAUUCCACCGAGGUCGACUUUGCCUUUCAUCCUUUCGGGGUCGAUUAAAUAAGUACCAGUUAUGCACUGGGGUUGGCGUAAUUGACUUAAUCCCUUUGUCUGUCCUUGUUUGUCCCCUCUGUGUUUAGCCCCUUGUGGGCAGUAAAGAAAUAGGUAUUUCGUCUGCUGCUACUUUCUGAGUUCAAAUUCCGCUGAGGUCGACUUUGCCUUUCAUCCUUUCGGGUUCGAUUAAAUAAGUUCCAGUUACGCACUGGGGUUGGCGUAAUUGACUUAAUCCCUUUGUCUGUCCUUGUUUGUCCCCUCUGUGUUUAGCCCCUUGUGGGUAGUAAAGAAAUAGGUAUUUCGUCUGCUGCUACGUUCUGAGUUCAAAUUCCGCCGAGGUCGACUUUGCCUUUCAUCCUUUCGGGGUCGAUUAAAUAAGUACCAGUUAAGCACUGGGGUCGAUGUAAUCUACUUAAUCCCUUUGUCUGUCCUUGUUUGUUCCCUCUGUGUUUAGCCCCUUGUGGGCAGUAAAGAAAUAGGUAUUUCGUCUGCUGCUACGUUCUGAGUUCAAAUUCCGCCGAGGUCGACUUUGCCUUUCAUCCUUUCGGGGUCGAUUAAAUAAGUACCAGUUAAGCACUGGGGUCGAUGUAAUCUACUUAAUCCCUUUGUCUGUCCUUGUUUGUUCCCUCUGUGUUUAGCCCCUUGUGGGCAGUAAAGAAAUAGGUAUUUCGUCUGCUGCUACGUUCUGAGUUCAAAUUCCGCCGAGGUCGACUUUGCCUUUCAUCCUUUCGGGGUCGAUUAAAUAAGUACCAGUUAAGCACUGGGGUCGAUGUAAUCGACUCAAUCCCUUUGUCUGUCCUUGUUUGUCCCCUCUGUGUUUAGCCCCUUGUGGGCAAUAAAGAAUUAUAUAUGCAUAGGUGCAAGCAUGCACAAACUUACUUCCGAAGCAAGUGUGUUGAAGAGAGAGAGAAUGAGAGAGAAUUCUGUAAAUAGUGGAGCCAUGUAUAAAGCAUCAGCAUAUGCAAAUACCGAUUGUAGGAUAACUCGGGAUCAAAUAUUAUGAAACUCAAGGCUCUGAUUCCAGAACUGUGGUGUGUGUACAUACGAUAUGAAAAUUCAGGUGACCAAAGUUAAAAAAUGAAAUGCAGGCAUUAUCUUUUUUAUAACAUACUCUAAUAUUACCUAUCUUUUAUAACAUAUUUGUUGAUAAAUAAAACGAUAUUUUACUUA